UGGGAAGAAAGGGCUCGUAGGAGCCUUGGCUGUGGAAAGAAGAACACCCAGGAAAUGGAGGCUCCACGUGAGCCCGCAGGAUGGCCGUGAGCUGGGGCUCUCCUGGGUAAGAGCAAACUUACAGGACGGGAGGAUCAGCACCAGCGUCGAGGCGGCCAUUUCACGGGAGGUGGACGGAUCCUAGUGCCCCUGCGGUGACAUCUGGGGCACGUCCUCUUCCUCAUUGGCCUGGCAGCAGCAGAGAGAUGGCCAGUGUGCCCUGAUGGAGGUGGAUCCACUUCCAUCAGGUCAUCUUCUGCAGGUGGAUCCACCUCCAUGGGCUCUUCUUUGCUGCCAGGCGGGUCCACCUCCAUGGGCUCGAUGUCAUCAGCCUCUUUCAGCAGCCGCCUCUUCUUUGAAGGUGGCUGCUCCAUCCCGUCCUUGGAAAUCACAGGAAAUAAAAAGUUUCUCUUUGAGAGACUCUGCAGGGCAGCUGCCUCUGGCUGUGUCAGCUGAGGGAUUGCCGUUGAGGGCAGUUGGGUGGCCAUGGCAACGAUUCUGAGUGCCAGGUGCUGGCCCAAACAUGGCGGCUGGCAGUUGGGGCCUGCGGCCAUUUCUGGGAGGCAGUGGCAAGAAUGUAGCAAUGGGUCAGUGGGAGCAGGGGGCUCUUAAGCGCCCUGCAGCUGCCCGGGGUGGAGCCGUCCUGGUGCCGACAGCAGCAGAGGAGGAGCAAAGCACGCUGACACCCCACAGUGAGCCAAGGGAGAGGCAGUCAUUAAAAGCAGUGGAGUUUCUGUGGUUGCAUUGGCUGUCCUUUCCCAUCCCUCAGCUCUGGGCCUGGAGCGUGAGAAGGUGGCAUCUCUUCUGCCCUGAUGCCGAAGGAGAGGGGUGUGGAGGAGAGGGCCUGGUGUCCUCUGGGUGGCUGUACUGGACCUGCAGGGGGGGUGCGUUGGAGGGCCUGUGAGGUUCUCAGGGCCUGGUGCUGGGGUUUUGCACCCGGGUGAUGAGAAGGCCGAUUAGGGGCUGUCGUC
ensembl:lncRNA